UACGGAGGGGGCUAGCGUUGUUCGGAAUUACUGGGCGUAAAGAGCGCGCAGGCGGCCCGGCAAGUCGGGUGUGAAAUCCCGGGGCUCAACCCCGGGACUGCAUUCGAUACUGCCGGGCUAGAGGUAGGUAGGGGAGAUCGGAAUUCCUGGUGUAGCGGUGAAAUGCGCAGAUAUCAGGAGGAACACCGGUGGCGAAGGCGGAUCUCUGGGCCUUACCUGACGCUCAGGCGCGAAAGCUAGGGGAGCGAACAGG
rnacentral:rRNA from 1 species